CAUAAAGAUUAUAUUACAGGGGUAAAAAGGGAAAGUGCGGAGAAAGCGUGUACUAAUUGGGUACAAGGGACUUGAGAUUUUGGUGAUAAUUGUCAGUGCAAUAUUUGCUUUCUUGGGAGCUUAUGUGAUUAGUUGACUCAAUGUGAUUCUUUAGUGUUUUGUGUAAUGGGUUUUUGUGGGUUUUGGAUUUGGUGAUUGAUUUAGGGGGUUUUGAUGCGAGCCGUGAUGCAUUGUAAUCUGGGGCUGAUAAGCUUUAUACAGGGAGUAAAGAUGAGACUGUUAAGAGUUUGAGGUUUUCAGUCUGGACAGGCAUGGAGUGCACAGGUGUAUGCUUUUUUCGUGGGUAAUUACUUGUUAUUUGCCGGUGCGCAAGUGAUCUUUUUCUUUCAUGGGCUUGUAUUAUCCUUAAAAGUUCUAUUGAUUCUCAUGUUCUCGUAUCGAGACCUAUUAUCUCAUUUCUGCAUCAGUUUGUUUCCUUUGGUGCAAGGAAGCAGGGACAUUAAUAAAUCAAAGCAGGGUCAUUUUUUGUGGUGGUAGGAGAGUUUGUGAUGAAACUCGUCAGGGAAGAAUAUUGAUGCAGUGGCAAUAUACAUCGAAUUUAGUUGACAGCGAGGCGCUUGAGGUGAAACUUUUUCUUUUUUUGGAAUUCUUGAAGGCAAAACGGUACAACUCUACUGCCAGUUUUCCAGCUUCACUUUGCUUUAAUUUCACUGUUGUUUGUGCUUGGAUUUUUACCAGUAGCUGAUGAUUCAGGAAAAACGAUGUGUGUGUGUGUGUGUUUCAAUCAUCACUAAACGGCAUGUUUAUUAAGUGCUAAGAUUGCUCAAACUUCUACUACAACGCUACGCUUCCACUUUCCUUUUCAAUAUGCAUUUUGAUGCCCUUCCCCUGUUGGCAGCUUUCCUUUUCAAUAAGCAUUUUGAUCCCCUUCCCCUGUUGGCAGCCUACACAUAAUACGAUAAUGUUUAUUAAGCCCGCUGUUACCUUAUGAAUAUGAUAAUGGUGCUUUUCUUUACCUUGGCCGCAUUCUUUACCAGAGUUCCACUUCUUAGGAUUGUCAAUUGAGGUGAGUUUAACUAAAAUUUCUUGCUUUGCAUACUAUGUUUUAAAUUUUUCUUGUGACAUAAAAUUAGUCCAGAAUAUUACUGGUGCAGAAUCAUGCUUGGAUUUGGUUGCAAAAUAUCAGACUGGUAAUGAUGUUGUCUGUUAAUGGCCACUAAGAGGAUCAUUUUCCUUAAAGUAGGUUAAGAUUUUUUUCAGCUAAAGGGAAUUAUGGGAGAUGUGUAAUUUACAAUUUUCAUAUUCUAAACCAUAUUUGAAGCAAAAGUAUCAAUUGAAAUAUAUUAUUACUGCGCAAGCCACAAAAUCACUAAAAUAUGAAAUCUUAAUUGAUAAAAACCUUAAAUGUUUUUCUUUGCAUUACUAACUUAUUCAUCUUUUAAUUUCAGAACAAUGUUUUGGAUCUCUUAAAACAUGCACUACCAGAUACCUUUUAGUUUUGGAAAAAAAAAAAUUCGCUGUGAAAUUUUCUUCAACUCUUUCUUGCUUUCCGCUUGACGAUCAAGUACUCACUUCCUCUCUCUCCCUGCUUUACUAGUUUGGUGCCAGACCAGUGGUGUCUUAAGCCAUGGUAUCAUUCAUCCCAUAGCCAUCUUUAUAUUGCGUACGUGCACGCUUCUCGUGGAAACUCUCAGGUACAGUUAUCAUCCAUAGAUUCAAUCUCUCAUCCUUUGCUCUCUUUUUUCUCCGUAUAUGUGGCUUCUCCUCUACCGCAUCCCCACUUCUCUUUACCUCAGAUCGCCUUUUUCAAUUCAUCUCCUUCUUUUUGUAAACCAGAUCAGUGGAAGAGAGAAUAAGCACAAAGUUGUGGAGAGAAUGAUGAGGUCAAUGGUAUUUUUAAAUCAUUAACAAUAAUUUUAUUUGCCGAUC